GAGGGUAUAGCUCAGUGGCAGAGCAUUUGACUGCUAAUCGAGAGAUCACCGGUUCAAACCCGGGUGUCCUCC